UUGCACGCUGGCGGCAUGCUUUACCCAUGCAAGUCGAGCGGUAACAGGCCUUCGGGUGCUGACGAGUGGCGACCGGGUGAGUAAUGCAUCGGAACGUACCCAGAGGUGGGGGAUAACGCAGCAAAAGCUGUGCUAAUACCGCAUGUGAUCUGAGGAUGAAAGCGGGGGACCGAGCAGCAAUGUUUGGCCUCGCGCCUUUGGAGCGGCCGAUGUCGGAUUAGCUAGUUGGUGGGGUAAAGGCCUACCAAGGCGACGAUCCGUAGCUGGUCUGAGAGGACGACCAGCCACACUGGGACUGAGACACGGCCCAGACUCCUACGGGAGGCAGCAGUGGGGAAUUUUGGACAAUGGGCGCAAGCCUGAUCCAGCAAUGCCGCGUGCGGGAAGAAGGCCUUCGGGUUGUAAACCGCUUUUGGCAGGAACGAAACGGUGUCCGCUAAUACCGGGCGCUAAUGACGGUACCUGCAGAAUAAGCACCGGCUAACUACGUG
rnacentral:rRNA from 1 species